GACGAACCGUCCGAACGUUAUUCGGAAUCACUGGGCUUAAAGGGCGCGUAGGCGGGCUGCCAAGUCCGGGGUGAAAUCCUCCAGCUUAACUGGAGAACGGCCCCGGAUACUGGAAGUCUCGAGGGGGAUAGGGGCACACGGAACUUAUGGCGGAGCGGUGAAAUGCGUUGAUAUCAUAAGGAACUCCGGUGGCGAAGGCGGUGUGCUGAUCCCUUCUGACGCUGAGGCGCGAAAGCCAGGGGAGCAAACGGG
rnacentral:rRNA from 1 species